UGUGUUCAUCUGACCCAGCUGCCUGCUGCCAGGGGCUCCGGGCUGAGGGUGGUAGAAGCACUUGCUAACCUAAAGUGACAUGUGCCAAGUGGGAGUGCAGGCUCUACAAA
ensembl:misc_RNA predicted gene, 27602